UACGGAGGAUGCGAGCGUUAUCCGGAUUCAUUGGGUUUAAAGGGUGCGCAGGCGGCGCGUUAAGUCAGCGGUGAAAUCUCAUGGCUCAACCAUGGAACUGCCAUUGAUACUGGCGUACUAGAGUGCGAACGGCGCCGGCGGAAUGUGCAAUGUAGCGGUGAAAUGCAUAGAUAUUGCACAGAACACCGAUCGCGAAGGCAGCUGGCGAGGACGUUACUGACGCUGAGGCACGAAAGCGUGGGGAUCAAAC
rnacentral:rRNA from 1 species